rnacentral:rRNA from 1 species
UACGGGGGGCAGCAGUGAGGAAUAUUGCGCAAUGGGCGAAAGCCUGACGCAGCGACGCCGCGUGGAGGAUGAAGGUCUUCGGAUUGUAAACUUCUGUUAAGUGGGAAGAAAUGUCAAGUUAUAAUACAACUUGAAGAUGACUGUACCAUUAGAGAAAGCACCGGCUAACUUCGUGCCAGCAGCCGCGGUAA